CGUUCGUAGUUGAACUUGUGCUUCAUACGGGUAGUAUAAUCUAUAAUUGUGGAUUAUACAUUACCUUAUGUAUGUAAGCGUAUUACUGGUGGAGUUCUAACAUAUAAUACAAUGGUACUUGUAUUGUUGUUUAUAUGUACCUCCUAUUGAAAAAACCUGCUUCAGUGCUCUUAAACGAGUGUUGUUGUGGGCCGGUACAAUUACUUUGAACAAAUUAGAGUGCUUAAAGCAGGCUCCAAAUGCCUGAAUAUUCUGUGCAUGGAAUAAUGAAAUAAGACCUCUGUUCUAUUUCCAUUGGUUUUUAGAUCUAGAGGUAAUGGUUAAUAGAAGCAGUUUGGGGGCAUUAGUAUUACGACGCGAGAGGU
rnacentral:rRNA from 1 species